rnacentral:rRNA from 1 species
GACGAACGCUGGCGGCGUGCUUAACACAUGCAAGUCGAACGGAAAGGCCCUGCUUUUGUGGGGUGCUCGAGUGGCGAACGGGUGAGUAACACGUGAGUAACCUGCCCUUGACUUUGGGAUAACUUCAGGAAACUGGGGCUAAUACCGGAUAGGAGCUCCUGCUGCAUGGUGGGGGUUGGAAAGUUUCGGCGGUUGGGGAUGGACUCGCGGCUUAUCAGCUUGUUGGUGGGGUAGUGGCUUACCAAGGCUUUGACGGGUAGCCGGCCUGAGAGGGUGACCGGCCACAUUGGUUCUGAUCUACGGCCCAUACUCCUACGGGAGUCAGCAGUGGGGAAUAUUGCUCUCUGUGCGGAAGCCUGUUGCAGCAACGCCUCGUGCGGGAUGACUUCCGUCGGGUUGUAAACCUCUUUCGCCUGUGACGAAGCGUUAGUGACGGUUCUGGGUAAUGAAGCACCGGCUAACUUCGUG